rnacentral:rRNA from 1 species
GACGAACCGAGCGAACGUUAUUCGGAAUCACUGGGCUUAAAGGGCGCGUAGGCGGGCCGGCAAGUCAGGGGUGAAAGCCCCCAGCUCAACUGGAGAAGUGCCUCUGAUACUGCGGGCCUCGAGGGAGGUAGGGGCGUGCGGAACUUCCGGUGGAGCGGUGAAAUGCGUAGAUAUCGGAAGGAACACCGGUGGCGAAAGCGGCGCGCUGGACCUCUUCUGACGCUGAGGCGCGAAAGCCAGGGGAGCAAACGGG